rnacentral:rRNA from 1 species
UACGGAGGGAGCUAGCGUUGUUCGGAUAUACUGGGCGUAAAGCGCACGUAGGCGGCGCGGCAAGUCAGGGGUGAAAUCCCGGAGCUCAACUCCGGAACUGCCUUUGAAACUGCAGUGCUAGAAUUCUGGAGAGGCGAGUGGAAUUCCGAGUGUAGAGGUGAAAUUCGUAGAUAUUCGGAAGAACACCAGUGGCGAAGGCGGCCAACUGGUCCAUUACUGACGCUGAGGUGCGAAAGCGUGGGGAGCAAACAGG